AAACGGCGGCGAGCGCGCGCGGCAACCGCCAAACGCCCGCCUUUGUAGCCCCGGCCCCGCGUCCUUACCCUGCCGACGGCUGCUCGGCUCCGGCCCGCGGCGGCGGCCCCAGAGCCGAGGACCGGGGUGGGCUCGCGCUCUUCGUCACUGGAGAAGUCCGGGGGCCCCUUGCUGUUGGUGCCGGCGGGGAGCGGCGGCCGGUUGCGAGCCGUGAGGUGCUGCAGGACCGAGGGGUCUUCCAGGAACUCCGGCAUCUCGGGGAUCUGCGAAGCCCCCUCCCCACAGCCUUUGCCGCCGCCGCUCACGCCGGCGCGCUUGCUCCUGGCCGGGGACCGCGCUGCCGCCUCCGAGCCUCACGGCUCCUGCCCGGGAAGAGCGCUGCGGAGCGGAACAAAAACUCGCGGACACAAAGCCAAGCCAGACCCGGACACAAAAGACCCCAGAGCCGAACUACGAACCAACUGCGGCCAAGCUGGAAGCUCGCACCAACCCCAGCCCACACACUACAGGCAGGAGGCGAGCAGCCUGCUUCGCCCACGCCCCAAGAACGCGCGCCGCCAUUGGCGGGCGACGGGAGGAAGCGCGGCGGUGAUUGGCGAGACGGCUCGCGCGGGUUCCAUUAGCCGCCGCGCUGAGCGAGAGGAGACGCCGAUAAGGGACAGGUCGUACUGCUUUUGUGCGCCGUUUCCUCUCCCUCCCCCAGCUUGAGAAGCAGCUUUCGUCUCUGGGGUCGAUCGCCUACGAACGCGCCGAAUUCCACGCCAGUGUGAGGACCCUUGGCUGGGCCUUUCUUCCUCCCGGGACACUGAAGCUCCAAGAGUAGCCGCAGCCUUGCCUUCCCCAAACGCUAGCCCUGAAGGGGAAGAAAAGAAGCGAGGCUUGUCUGCAGGCACUCAUAUUCCUUGAUUUGAUUUACUUUGGGAGGGGGAGGGCGGGGAGUUACCCCUCUCCUCGCGAACGCUUCUUUUGUUCCAGAAACCCAGGGGAAGCCAGACCUCUACAAUCGGGCACUUAAAUUACCCUUGAAUUUGUGACAAAAGUGUACUAUACCAUUCACUUCUUAGUGUCAUA
rnacentral:lncRNA from 1 species